AUUGCUUGGGUUCAGCAGCUUCUGAUCACAGACGAGAUGAUGGAGCUGUCAUAUCCUCUUACGUAAUGAUCGGGUAAUCCUUUUGAGUAUGUAAUGCAAUCUAACCACUGGGGGGAGAGAUUGAACAACUAAAAGAGGCGUAUAUAGGCCACAAGACGCUCUCCAUCUGCUCCGCUUUGACCAAUAGAUUUAAGAGGCACUACAGGAAAGAGCCGCACCAGGGAUUACGAUGGCACACCGGG